CCUACGGGAGGCAGCAGUCGAGAAUCAUUCACAAUGGGGGAAACCCUGAUGGUGCGACGCCGCGUGGGGGAAUGAAGGUCUUCGGAUUGUAAACCCCUGUCAUGUGGGAGCAAAUUAAAAAGAUAGUACCACAAGAGGAAGAGACGGCUAACUCGGUGCCAGCAGCCGCGGUAAUACAGAGGUCUCAAGCGUUGUUCGGAAUCACUGGGCGUAAAGCGUGCGUAGGCUGUUUCGUAAGUCGUGUGUGAAAGGCGGGGGCUCAACCCGCGGACGGCACAUGAUACUGCGAGACUAGAGUAAUGGAGGGGGAACCGGAAUUCUCGGUGUAGCAGUGAAAUGCGUAGAUAUCGAGAGGAACACUCGUGGCGAAGGCGGGUUCCUGGACAUUAACUGACGCUGAGGCACGAAGGCCAGGGGAGCGAAAGGGAUUAGAUACCCGAGUAGUC
rnacentral:rRNA from 1 species